AGAGUUUGAUCAUGGCUCAGCCUGAACGCUGGCGGCGUGGCUAAGACAUGCAAGUCGCACGGUGUAGCAAUACACAGUGGCGAACGGGAGAGUAAUGAAUCGCUAACGUGCCCCGUACACCGGGAUAGCCGCCCGAAAGGGCGGGUAAUACCGGAUGACAUCACUUCCAGGCAUCUGGGGGUGCUCAAAGGUCCGCCGGCAACGGCGGGCGGUUCGGGAGCGGGCGAUUUCGUAUCAGCUAGUUGGUGGGGUAACGGCCCACCAAGGCGACGACGCGUAGCCGGACUGAGAGGUUGGCCGGCCUCAUUGGGACUGAGACACUGCCCAGACUCCUACGGGGGGCUGCAGUAACGAAUCUUCCGCAAUGCGCGAAAGCGUGACGGAGCGACGCCGCGUGUGGGACGAAGCCCUUCGGGGUGUAAACCACUGUCAGGGGCUACCAAGAACUGAGGGGCCCCAGAGGAAGGCACGGCUAACUCUGUGCCAGCAGCCGCGGUAAGACAGAGGUGCCGAGCGUUAGGCGGAAUCACUGGGCUUAAAGCGUGUGUAGGCGGACGGGUAAGUACCUUGUGAAAUCCCACGGCUCAACCGUGGAACUGCUCGGUAUACUGCCCGUCUUGAGCCACUUAGGGGCUGUCGGAACAAACGGUGGAGCGGUGAAAUGCGUAGAUAUCGUUUGGAACGCCAACGGUGAAAACAGACAGCUGGGAGUGUGCUGACGCUGAGACACGAAAGCCAGGGGAGCGAACGGGAUUAGAUACCCCGGUAGUCC
rnacentral:rRNA from 1 species